rnacentral:rRNA from 1 species
AGAACGAACGCUGGCGGCAUGCCUAACACAUGCAAGUCGAACGAGACCUUCGGGUCUAGUGGCGCACGGGUGCGUAACGCGUGGGAAUCUGCCCUUGGGUUCGGAAUAACAGCGAGAAAUUGCUGCUAAUACCGGAUGAUGACGUAAGUCCAAAGAUUUAUCGCCCAAGGAUGAGCCCGCGUAGGAUUAUCUUGUUGGUGAGGUAAGAGCUCACCAAGGCGACGAUCCUUAGCUGGUCUGAGAGGAUGAUCAGCCACACUGGGGACUGAGACACGGCCCAGACUCCUACGGGAGGCAGCAGUGGGGAAUAUUGGACAAUGGGCG